rnacentral:rRNA from 1 species
GACGAACGCUGGCGGCGUGCCUAAUACAUGCAAGUAGAACGCACAGUUUAUACCGUAGCUUGCUACACCAUAGACUGUGAGUUGCGAACGGGUGAGUAACGCGUAGGUAACCUGCCUGGUAGCGGGGGAUAACUAUUGGUAACGAUAGCUAAUACCGCAUAAUAUUAAUUAUUGCUUGAUAAUUAAUUGAAAGGUGCAAUUGCACCACUACUAGAUGGACCUGCGCUGUAUUAGCUAGUAGGUGAGGUAACGGCUCACCUAGGCGACGAUACAUAGCCGACCGGAGAGGGUGAUCGGCCACACUGGGACGGAGACACGGCCCAGACUCCCUCGGGAAGGAGCAGGAGGGAAUCGUCGGCAAUGGACGGAAGUCUUACCGAGCAACGCCGCGGGAGUGAAGAAGGUUGUCGGAUCGUAAAGCUCGGUUGUAAGAGAAGAAAGGGUGUGAGAGUGGAAAGUUCACACUGUGACGGUAUCUUACCAGAAAGGGACGGCUAACUACGUG